AACCCGCUAGAAGCCGGAGAGCAGACACGGGUUUUUUUUUUUUUUUCCUAGAGGAUCUCCUCCAAGAUUAAAGCUAGUCCUAAGAGCAACCGAAUUGCUGUGACUGACUUUCACGGGACUGUAAAGAGAGAUCGGCUCAAAAGUCCAAAGAGAAAUGAGGUGUCCGGUAUGGAAGUGCAUCUCAGUCAACCGCCAGCUCCUUUUGCCGAGGCUGGAAAUGGUUUUAACAGGCGGUAAAAUUUCAUCUUGUGGUGUCAAAUUGGGGUCAGUUUGGGGUUAGCGCUCUCAGUGUCCGAGCAGGAGCUGUCCAGCUGUGUGGGGAUUCAUUAAGGGCAAAAGAUCCGUUUCAAGAAAAACAAUACAAAGACAAUCAGAGGGCUAAAGAUCCUCUUCAAAUCGCAUUUUACAAGUGCACCAGAACAAAUAUGGAUGCUGAAACCUAUUCCCUUCAAACUCCCAAAUCGGCUUCUUAGCUCUCGGAGGGAGCAAGAGAGAAAAUCCUCUAAAAGUUAAGAAGAGUCUGUUUUCAAUCAGCCUUUCCGAAGUGUGGCAUCUUAGUCCUUUGCUGGCUUUGAGACAUGCCUCUCUUGCUUGCUUGUUACGUCUCUACCUCCCUCCCUCUCUCUCUUUUUCCACAGCCUUGCAAAAGUGGAUGGUACAACAGGUAAUAUUUCAGAUUUCAAGAAUAAAUCCCACCGGAGACCUCAAACGGCUGUUUUGCAUGCGCGUGUGUUCCUAUCACAAGAUUUAAUGCAAAUAGAAAGUUUUUAGGGGGAAACAAGCCAUGCUUGCGAGAAAUCCUAUUGUACUCUGUAGGAAAUUUUGAGCUCCCCUUGUUGGUGAUCCUCCGGUCCGAUGGGUAAUUUAGGCUAGAUUUACUUUCCGGUUCUUAGCAGUUGUGGAAAGCACCUAUUGCUAAUCUGGUUUAUUAAAUUCGCAUGGUUUAAAUCCUCUUAACGUCCCUACAUCUGUUAGGACAAUUGACUCCUUGCUACAGGGACAAAUAACUUGAACCUUAAUCUUGUUUGUAACUUUAUUCAAUGUUUGUUUGUCUGCUGAGUUCAAGUAUUUUGGAGGAUGCCAUUGUAUUCAUUAACAUGUAGACUGCAUUUGAAAGCAAAACUCCUCUUAGACGGGUCAGGGAUAUCAUGGAACACAGUGAAAAAUUUAGCAUAUUCGAACUGGCUUUUUAUCUCGAACUAUCAUUCUAGCAAAUGUGUCAUAAUGAAUGAAGAAAGCAAUCUGCCUGUUAAAAUAUGGACGCUGGACAUCACCGUGACACCGUAGUGAAAUUCAUGUGAAUUUUACUUUUUGUUUUGCUUGCAAGGCGAAGUGUGGAGUUUAACUAGUACCUUUUUCUUUUUAUAAUCAGGAUUGUGCCACAGUUAAAUUCCUACCCCCAAACCCGCUCUUUACCACACUCUCCUUUGCCCUUUCGGUUGCUUUUUACAACUUCAGUCACUUUUUAUUCAUCUCAGCACUCUUUGAUUUGCCUCUGACUUCCCGCAGCUGCAAGACUUUCGAGGUCCCAUCUCGGGUGCCCCUGUGAAAUCAUGCACGUUUUGGCUUUUGCAGAUCCCUGGGUUCAUUUAGCUCCUCACCCUGAUCUGUCUGCCAGUGGUGUACUUCGCUUUUCAGUAACGUAUUAUUAUUUGUCGAAAAUCUUUCUAGUCCUGAAAGUCAAUGGUAGCCCAUCACGGUGAACUUUUCUUGACCUCGACUGCGGUAUGACUGAGAUGUUGGGAGCUGGAUUAGGAGGAGGUUCAUUUACUUACCUGUUACUUCGCCUUUUACUCUUUCUUCCACCCCUUUGCCCUCUGUUUUCUUUUAGAGGGAAAAACCCCAAUCCCGCACGAAACAAGAACGAUCCGGGUUCGUCCUCCCCUGCCGACCCCCUUUCUCCCCUCGCCGCCGGGACGCAGGGCUGUAACCCGGCGCUGGCGGGCUGCCCCGGCGGGCGCUGCCGCGGCCCCGAGCGGCGCUGCCAUCAGCAGCCCUCUAGCGCUAUCUGGCGGGGCUCCAAUACGAGCCCGGAGCCGCGCAGGGCCCGGCCCUCCGCCGCCGCCGCCGCCGGGGCCGUGGGGCCGGGCACGGGGCUCGCUCCGCGGCCGCAGGGCCCUCGUCCCCGGCUCAGCUGCUCCCGCGGGACGUUGAUGAGGCCCAGUCCCGGGUUCCACCCCUGAGGGGCGAAACCGGCCGUGGGAAGGGGCACAGAGAUGAAGCCCGUCGCGUUUGUCCGGCUUAUGUCAUUCGGGUGGUGUGAAGCACUAAAGUCAGAGGAGAUGAGAUUUUUUUUUUUUUUUUAAUUAUGUUAUUUAGGCUGGAAUGUUUGUGAAAGUGGAAUGUUUGUAAAAGUGGAGACCAUAAACAGUCGACAUUUAUUUCCAUCACACACCAGAGGGGGAAAAAAAAAAAAGAAAAUAAGAAAACAACCACAAACCUGUCAGGGCUUCCCACUAAUACUGUUUGCACAGGGCAGUAAAAAAUCUAGUUUGCAAUUGUUCUAAGAAUCCCGAAGUAUGAAAAAAUUUUAAUCUUUCCAGUAUAACAUGGUAACCAAAAGGACAGUUAAGGCAAAGUAAAUGGCUUUAGUGUGAUACCAGAGAAUCCGCAAAGGCUUCAAAUUCUCCUCAAGCUCACUCAAAAUAUCUCCUUUUGUUCUCCAGCUGCCUAUAAAACUCCAGAAAAGAAGUGCUCUCAUUUUUACACUGGAGUUCUCGGUCCGGAGAGAACAAUAUACUCCUACCUCUUUUGAAAUGAUCCGGAGGCUCUCAUAGCACACAGGCAAUCACUCGAAGCACGAAUUUCCUUUUUUUUCUUUUUUUUUUUUCCCAAGAACUGCUCGGCCCAUUGUUUGAAGUGGGAUUCAGUGCAGAGCCCAAAGAGAAAAGGAAAAAAAAAAAAAUCCUGAGAGCCCGGUUUGGUAUUGCACAGAGAUAGAGCUGACAAAAUAUUAUAGCGUGUUUCCUAGAAGUACAUGGUGAGAGCCGGCAGUGUGUUCCCGAAAAGAGGUUGCUCUUUAUUUCCACCACCACCCCCCUCAAGAUUGUGAUCGUCUUUGUAUGUCUUUCUUUUGAUCCCACAAAAAGAAUGCAAUACACAUACAUGUGUUUGCUCUCCAUACAAGAAAUGCCAUACAAUGGAAUAUGUGGCCAGUCAGUUCUCAUAAUGCUUAGUUUUGCUGUAAUUAAUUGAAAACAGUUAUUAGGUCGUCAUUGGCAAUAGCGUAAAUAAUUGCAGCAGAUUUUUACUUAAAAUUGACCGGUCAUAGAGUGAUAGAUCGAUUCGAGGUAUAAAAAUGAUGUAUCAAAACAUCAAUGUCGAUUAUUUGAAAUAUUGUAGUCGAAUCUUUUUAUUGCUUCAUCGGUUAAGUGUCUGAAAGUGCUGUGUUCCAACAUAUAUUUAUGUUGUCAAUACUGUCAAAACUGUCAGUUUUAUUACAGUGGAUUUGUAAUACAUUUCGGAUUUGCUCAUUUGCAUAAAAUGUCCACCUCAGAUACCCCUCCUUUUCUCCAUCUCUGGAAAUCUGUGUCAGUUUAAUGAAAGGAUUCAAGACUCAUACCUGAAGAGGGGAGAAAAAAAAGAAAAAGGAAAGGAGAAAAAUAAAAGGAGGUGUUGCUCCAUUAUGUCCAAUUUUAACAUCCGUUUGGAAAGCUUGGGCUAUUUCUGACUCGCCAAAAGAGGGAAUUCCUCCCCCCUUCCCCCUCCCUCCCCCGGCCCCGCUUAUUUCCCCAGUAGAAUUUAAACACUUUUCUACUCUCACACCUAGAUUAAACCAUCCAGAAGAAUUGGGAAAUUGUACAGGGUUACAGUGACGAGACAAAGCACACCUGUGAAUGCUGCAACCCUCCCAAAGAGAGCAACAACCCCCUGAACCACGCACACACGUGCAGGGGUUUGAAUCCUGCUAGAAAGAAGGAGACAAAAGGAGCAAUAAAAUAAAUAUGUGUGUGAUCCUUUCCUAACGGUUUGGAGCCCAAAGGAAAAAAGCAAACUGUAAGCAGUGUUGGGCAUUUGAUGCCCCCCCGCCCCUAUUUUAUCAGGGUCUGAUCGAUGUGAUUAUUCCUUUUAACUGUAAGCAGUGAUUUUUUAUUAGCAUGAUCUCAGGCAACUCUCUAAUUUUCUCCAAGAGCCCAGCUGAGGGAUAGAGAAACUCAGGAAUAAAUAAAUAAGUCCAUUUGCACAAUAAAGUCUCUUCGAUAGAACAAAGAGUGAAAUUAGGCAAGUAACUUUAUUUCCCACCCCUUUCCGAGGAUGAAGAUGUUUAAAGGUGUUGGUGAGAUGGACCUGAGGGGUAUGUGGGUUGGUUUCUUUCCUCUUCCCCCUUCCCGCAAUCCCCCCUCCCCACCCCCCCACCCCUUCCCCCCGGGUUAUCUGUGUUUAAAUAGAUGCUGAAGAGAUUUCUGAGUUCACGGGAAAGAAGGAAGGUUAGUUAAGGGAAUGGCAGCGCGCCUGGCAGGUAUUUUAAUGACUGUCCCUUUCUUUGAACACUUUCAAUUUCUCUGCUUCUUGUACAGAAUAUGUUUCCCAAACCAAGUAUGAUUUCUGUUGUAACUCCCGUGUGUGAUUGUGAUCCCUUCUGAGGUAAAUUGAGAAGUACGCUGCGCAAAAGGAGGAAAUCGCCCCUGGGGUGCUUUGUUUACUUUGGUUUGUAAAAUCCUGCUAGGGGAUGGUUUCCUCAGUGUGUGGCAAGUGUUUCUUCAAGAAAUUCAUCAGCCCUUCUACAAUUACUUCGAGCUCCGAGGGAAGAAAGGUGCCAUCACUUUCUCACAUCCCAAGGUGUUGCAGGGGGGAGAGAAGAAAAGGCUGGAGCAUUUAAUUAUAAUGGGGAGGGGGGGUGGGGGGUGGGGAGAGCGGAGGCUGCAGAAAGGCGUCCCAAGCCUGUACCUGUAAAAAAAAAAAAAAAACCUGCAAGGGUAUACUUGGGAAGCGUGUGCCAUUUAGACAUGGGGAAAAGUACCCCGUCUUGUGCAGUAAUUAGUCUGAACAAUAAACAUAAUUGGAACAAAAUCA